rnacentral:rRNA from 1 species
GACGAACGCUGGCGGCGUGCCUAAUACAUGCAAGUCGGGCGGAGUUUCCGCUUGGAAGCCUUCGGGCGGAAGGGCGGGAACUUUAGCGGCGAACGGGUGAGUAACACGUGGGCAACCUGCCCGCAAGACGGGGAUAACUGGCGGAAACGUCAGCUAAUACCGGAUAGGCACCGGGAGGGCAUCCUUCCGGUGGGAAAGGCGGAGUUUUCUGCCGCUUGCGGAUGGGCCCGCGGCGCAUUAGCUGGUUGGCGGGGUAACGGCCCACCAAGGCGACGAUGCGUAGCCGGCCUGAGAGGGUGACCGGCCACACUGGGACUGAGACACGGCCCAGACUCCUACGGGAGGCAGCAGUAGGGAAUCUUCGGCAAUGGGCGAAAGCCUGACCGAGCAACGCCGCGUGAGUGAGGAAGGCCUUCGGGUCGUAAAGCUCUGUUGCCAGGGAAGAAUUCCUUCAUGUUAACUGCAUGGAGGUUGACGGUACCUGAGAAGAAAGCCCCGGCUAACUAC